AUUGAACGCUGGUGGCAGGCUUAACACAUGCAAGUCGAGCGGGGGAAGGUAGCUUGCUACCGGACCUAGCGGCGGACGGGUGAGUAAUGCUUAGGAAUCUGCCUAUUAGUGGGGGACAACAUCCCGAAAGGGACGCUAAUACCGCAUACGUCCUACGGGAGAAAGCAGGGGAUCUUCGGACCUUGCGCUAAUAGAUGAGCCUAAGUCGGAUUAGCUAGUUGGUGGGGUAAAGGCCUACCAAGGCGACGAUCUGUAGCGGGUCUGAGAGGAUGAUCCGCCACACUGGGACUGAGACACGGCCCAGACUCCUACGGGAGGCAGCAGUGGGGAAUAUUGGACAAUGGGGGGAACCCUGAUCCAGCCAUGCCGCGUGUGUGAAGAAGGCCUUAUGGUUGUAAAGCACUUUAAGCGAGGAGGAGGCUACUCUAGUUAAUACCUAGGGAUAGUGGACGUUACUCGCAGAAUAAGCACCGGCUAACUCUGUGCCAGCCGCCGCGGUAA
rnacentral:rRNA from 1 species